rnacentral:rRNA from 1 species
AUUGAACGCUGGCGGCAUGCUUUACACAUGCAAGUCGAACGGUAACAGGUCUUCGGAUGCUGACGAGUGGCGAACGGGUGAGUAAUGCAUCGGAACGUGCCCAGUCGUGGGGGAUAACGCAGCGAAAGCUGCGCUAAUACCGCAUACGAUCUAUGGAUGAAAGCGGGGGACCGUAAGGCCUCGCGCGAUUGGAGCGGCCGAUGUCAGAUUAGGUAGUUGGUGGGGUAAAGGCGCACCAAGCCAACGAUCUGUAGCUGGUCUGAGAGGACGACCCGCCACACUGGGACUGGGACACGGCCCAGACUCCUACGGGAGGCAGCAGUGGGGAAUUUUGGACAAUGGGCGCAAGCCUGAUCCAGCAAUGCCGCGUGCAGGAAGAAGGCCUUCGGGUUGUAAACUGCUUUUGUACGGAACGAAACGGCUCUCUCUAAUACAGAGGGCUAAUGACGGUACCGUAAGAAUAAGCACCGGCUAACUACGUGCCAGCCGCCGCCGUAA